rnacentral:lncRNA from 1 species
CUUCCAGGGGGCCCUUCCAAGCUGAAUUAUCACUAUGAUCCUGUUUUAAAUAUCAGUGGGGAUAUGAAACACAGAUAAUUGAAUUGUCUGAUGUAACUCCCAGUUAAAAUAAUUGGAAAGAACUCUGUGGUAUCUUCAGAACCUGUUGCCCAAAGUCACAAAGAAAAUACAUCCAAGGAAAGACCUCAGACUUCCUGCUUUCCUCACAAGUUGCCUUAUCUUGAGCCUAUAUUUCCUUUGUAGUAGUCAGGAGCCUAUGUUGUAUUCCUGCUUACAUGUGAAUUUCAAUAAACAGAAUAAGAAGGUCCAAUGUCAAAAGAAAUAAUCUUCUCUGGAUACAAUCUGUGAAGGUGUGACUUCUGGAGAAUUCCCACAUGUAAUUAGGUGUACCUCCCUACCAUUGGCCAUUUCCUCAUGCCAUUUCCAUGUGCAUAGACUCAGACUGUCUGCUGAGGGACUAUUUUGGUGUGCUCAGAUACACAAAGAAUUUGUAAAUAGAGACAAAGCACUUCAUACUACAGUAAUUCUAGUCUAGAAGUAGUUAAGAAAAUGUGUAAAUUUUAAACUAUGCCAAAAAGGAACAGAGAGUCUUUUCAGUAGUGUUCAUUGAUCUGUUCCUCAUGUCAUGGUUUUGUUUCUGUUUCACUAACAAUAUUACUGACAGAUGAACUGAGUCAAUCCAAGCAUACCUGUUCUUCUUUUGUUGUUUCUCCAUUUGUGUAAACACUUGCCUACUGUCUUACCAGUGGCAAAUUUGUUGCUGUUGUUUUUGGCAUUUAUCCUUCUCUGGGCUUGAUGAAUAACAGGGCAUGAAAAAACUGUCACAAGGCCUACCAGUAGACAAACAUCAGGCUGUAAACAAUAGCAUAAAGUGCUAUUAAAACUGUAGUGUAAACACACACAAGAUGAUAAAAUGAGCCAACUGAUGAUAUUUCAUGGGUUGUACUAGUUGAAGUGAACUGAUCCUCAUCCAAACUCAAUCAGUCACAGUUCUGUUUGCAGCUGUUUUAACAUUACUAAGUUCUAGAGAAAUUUAGAUAAAUGUCUGUUUUAGAUUUAUUUAUUUCAAUGUAAAUAGUAUCACUUUAAAAAUAAAACAAAUAUAGUGACUAAUAUAUAUAUUCA